rnacentral:sRNA from 1 species
CUCAAACCUGCAGCAGGUUUGAGUUGAGCGCAGCGAAACAACGGAGCCGCUCGCGGCGACGGCCCGAAGGGCGAGCGAAGCGAGUCAUCCUGCACGACCCACCA